rnacentral:rRNA from 1 species
AUUGAACGCUGGCGGCAGGCUUAACACAUGCAAGUCGAGCGAGCGGCGGACGGGUGAGGAAUGUCUGGGAAACGGCAUGAUGGAGGGGGAGAACUACUGGAAACGGUAGAUAAUACCGCAUACCAGCAGAGGUGCCCAGAUGGGAUUAGCUAGUAGGUGGGGUAAUGGCUCAGCUAGGCGACGAUCCCUAGCUGGUCUGAGAGUAUGACAACCCACACUGGAACUGAGACACGGUCCAGCCUCCUACGGGAGGCAGCAGUUGGGAAUAUUGCACAAUGGGCGCAAGCCUGAUGCAGCCAUGCCGCGUGUGUGAAGAAGGCCUUCGGGUUGUACAGCACUUUCAGCGAGGAGGCGUUACUCGCAGAAGAAGCACCGGCUAACUCCGUGCCAGCCGCCGCGGUAAUAC